CUCUGUACAUGCCUCUAGCCACGCCCAAAGUGGGCAUGGCUAGUGGCAUAGUUCACCGCCCUUUCAUUACUACAUCAGUUUGUUAGUGGGGCAGUCCUAAAGUCUCCUCCUACACCAUGCAGUCUCUCAGUAGGCUGUAGCGGACUUGCUAAUGUCUCCUGGCUUAAGGCUGGGUGGAGAUGGAACUCUCCAGUACGGCCAUUGUGGAAAGCCUUAAUAUUGGGUCAAAGCAUCUCCAUCUGGUUGGAUCAGCAGCCCACUAACAGAAGAGACAAAUGACCCACUCAGAGUGGAAAUCGAUUCCCACUGAACAGGUUCAUUUUCAUUUGGCUGAACUAUUCCCAAGGCGUCUGAAAGGAAACGCUGCCAUGCGAGCAGCCCCGUUUGACACAAACCUGAAAACCAAACGAUCUUGAAUGUUGAAGGGCUCUGCCUCAAUGAGGAGAGGUCAUGGGAGGAGCCCACUGGGAUCUGUAACUAAGCCAGAGGUGGUAGAAGACAAUGUUCAACGAGUCCAGCCAGUGGCCUGCCUCAGGUAUCAGAACCAGAGCAGAACGGCGUGAACACAAGCUGAGGUUAUUGUCACAACGUCUCUGAGCAUCAGGCCAGCGUCUAUGCUCAGGACACCUUGAAACUCUUCAUCACACUCUAGUGAGGACCACAUGGACUUCUGUGACAAUGCAUGGAAUGUACUUUGAGCGAAGGAGGCUUGUUACCUAAUUGGCUUGAAGAAGAUGAAGAUGGAGACAACAGGCGAGAGGAAGAAACCAUGAAGGAGGAUACAGACAGUGUGAUGGUUAACAUUGUCAACGCUAACAUUAUCAGCUUAACACAACCCAGACUCACCUGGGAAGUUUCAAUAAAGGGUUGUCUGUA